rnacentral:piRNA from 1 species
CAGGGCGGGCUGGGUCUGGGCUGAGGG